GACGAACGCUGGCGGCGUGCGUAACACAUGCAAGUCGAACGGAAAGGCCCUGCUUUUGUGGGGUGCUCGAGUGGCGAACGGGUGAGUAACACGUGAGUAACCUGCCCUUGACUUUGGGAUAACUUCAGGAAACUGGGGCUAAUACCGGAUAGGAGCUCCUGCUGCAUGGUGGGGGUUGGAAAGUUUCGGCGGUUGGGGAUGGACUCGCGGCUUAUCAGCUUGUUGGUGGGGUAGUGGCUUACCAAGGCUUUGACGGGUAGCCGGCCUGAGAGGGUGACCGGCCACAUUGGGACUGAGAUACGGCCCAGACUCCUACGGGAGGCAGAAGUGGGGAAUAUUGCACAAUGGGCGGAAGCCUGAUGCAGCAACGCCGCGUGCGGGAUGACGGCCUUCGGGUUGUAAACCGCUUUCGCCUGUGACGAAGCGUGAGUGACGGUAAUGGGUAAAGAAGCACCGGCUAACUACGUG
rnacentral:rRNA from 1 species